rnacentral:ncRNA from 1 species
AGUCUUCGGGGUUGGGUGAGAUUCCCUACCGGCGGUAAGUCAUAUGGCAAGCCCGCGAACCUCUGCUUUUGGUUGAGGUUGAUCAGGUUGAAUUCCUGAGCCGACGGUUACAGUCCGGAUGGGAGAAGAU